CCCUUUGUACUCUGUGCCCCCAAGCCACUGGGCCCACAAGCCAGCCAUGCAGUGACUGCCCCUCUAAAGCUGGAGCCCCCAGCAGCAAGAAGGAAUACAUGACACCCUGCCCCGCCCAGCCCAGCACCGCUGUCAUCUACUUCCUGCGCUGGGACCUGACCCCCCGAGGCCUGGGCCUCCACCUGCCCAGCUGCCCCCAGCGCCGGCUCCACCAGCACAGUAGCCCCUGCUGGCCCGUGAGCCCCACCCACAGACAGUGCUUGGCCUUGCUUGGCAGGAGGGCUCGCGAGCUCAGGCUGAAGGAGACGCAGGCCCUGGCCUAGGCCCCAGGCAAGCAAGCAGGGACCCUGCCCUGGCAGCGCCCUAGAAGGGUCAUGGACAAGGGUGAGGUGAGAGGUCGUUCCUGAUGGUGCAGAGUGCUGUGAGCACAGGACACCCGGCAGUGUCAUCGACUGACCAUGGGCAGGGCUGCUGGGGCCCAGGGGUCGGGAAGCCAUGCCCACGGGAAGGGGGAGAUGGUAUUGUCGUCCCCGCUUCACAGAUGAGGGGGCUAAGUCCUGCCACCGAGCCUCCCUCGAGGAUGGGGAGAACUAGCCUCGAGCCUGAAGAGCCUGGAGCCAACCCCUCCUGCAGGCCGCCUCCCAGAGCCAGGUCCCCUUGGGCUGCUUCUGUCCGGCCGCAGCUGCAAGGACUCUGAGCCACAGGCUGGGCCACACCAGAGGUGCCCAGAGAGACUGGCCCUGGUGCGUCUGUUCCUUUGUCCCCAAGCUUCUGCCUUCCUGCCUUGGCCUCUGCCUUUUCUCUCUUGCCUGCCUUCCAUCUGCCUGUCUCUGCGUUUGUGGAGUCUCCUUGGCUCUCCGCCUGUGCCCUCUGUCCAUCUCCCCCUCCCGCAUCCCCUCCUCUCCUCCUGCAUCUCCAUCUCCUCUCCUUGCACCUCCAUCUCUCAGGGCCAGGACUUAGGGUGUGGUCAGCCAGGCCUGGGACGGGGGUCUUCUGGGACACUGCCUCCAGGAUGCCCUCCGGCCUUCCUCUGGUGGCUCCUUUCCAGUCUUGCCCAAUCCGGGACUUCUGUGCUUGCCUCAGCCGCCGCAGGAAUGAGGCACCGCCCAGCCCCCGCCCUGCGUCCUUCCGGCCUCGCGACCCCAGCCCCCGGGCCCCUCGGGCAGUCCUCCCAGGCCCGCGGGACAGCACCCCGCGCCCGGGGAAGAGUGGGCGCACAGCCUGGGGCCAGGCCCCACCCGCGGCUAUUGAGAACAGACACGGAGAAUGCCGAAGGUCACCCCGCGGGGCACCGGCCAGGCUGCGCUGGACCUGCAUCCGCCACUCUCGUGGGUGGGGACGCCGCAGCAGCCCCUGCAGGCGACACAUUCACGGCCUUUUCAUUCCUACGUGAGCCUGCGUGCACGGACUCCCGGCCCAAAGGAGGGUGAGGCCGCGCACCUCCCUCCUCCUGCCUCCGGGCACCUCCC
rnacentral:lncRNA from 1 species